CACGGGGGGGAGCAAGCGUUGUUCGGAAUCACUGGGCGUAAAGGGCGUGUAGGCGGUCAGGUAAGUGAGAUGUGAAAUGCCCCGGCUCACCCGGGGACCGGCAUCUCAUACUGCUUGGCUUGAGUACGGGAGAGGAUGUGGGAAUUCCUGGUGUAGCGGUGAAAUGCGUAGAUAUCAGGAGGAACACCGGUGGCGAAGGCGCACAUCUGGCCCGAUACUGACGCUGAGGCGCGAAAGCUAGGGGAGCAAAC
rnacentral:rRNA from 1 species